CGUGUAGGCGGAUGGGAACGUCGGCGACUGAAAGCCCCCGGCUCAACCGGGGAAGUGGUGCCGAAACGACCUGUCUGGAGGGACGUAGGGGGAUCUGGAACUUCCGGUGGAGCGGUGAAAUGCGUUGAGAUCGGAAGGAACGCCCGUGGCGCAAGCGAGGUCCUGGACGUCUGCUGACGCUGAGACGCGAAAGCUAGGGGAGCAAACGGGAUUAGAUACCCCGGUAGUCCUAGCCGUAAACGAUGGGCACUGGGUAGGGGGCUCGCCGAUGGGCUCUCUGCCGUAGCGAAAGCGUGAAGUGCCCCGCCUGGGGAGUAUGGUCGCAAGGCUGAA
rnacentral:rRNA from 1 species